AAUAUUGGACAAUGGGGGCAACCCUGUUCCAGCCAUGCCUUGUGUGUGAAGAAGGUCGUCGGUUUGUAAAGCACUUUAAGUUGGGCGGAAGGUCUUUAGGUUAAUCCACUGAAGUUUUGACGUUACCAACAGAAUAAGUACCGGCUAACUCUGUGCCAGCAGCCGCGGUAAUACAGAGGGUGCAAGCGUUAAUCGGAAUUACUGGGCGUAAAGCGCGCGUAGGUGGUUCAGUAAGAUGGGUGUGAAAUCCCCGGGCUUAACCUGGGAACUGCUUUCAUAACUGCUGAGCUAGAGUACGGUAGAGGGUAGUGGAAUUUGCUGUGUAGCGGUGAAAUGCGUAGAUAUAGGAAGGAACACCAGUGGCGAAGGCGACUACCUGGACUGAUACUGACACUGAGGUGCGAAAGCGUGGGGAGCAAAC
rnacentral:rRNA from 1 species